rnacentral:tRNA from 1 species
UAGGGAGACCUACCCAUUCAGAAUCUGAAAGCACAGUGCAAAUAGGAACUGGAUUGGUCAUCCCAAGGUCGUUCGAGGUAUGAGUGUCUGAGCUUUCAAACUAUUAAAAGGUUCGGUUAUGGGCUAUUAGCUCAGGUGGUUAGAGCGCACCCCUGAUAAGGGUGAGGUCCCUGGUUCGAGUCCAGGAUGGCCCACCUUAGCGGGAGUUGAGAGUUAAGAGUUUUUAGUUUUGGGUUAGUUAUAGCUCAAGAUUUAAGCUUCAAGAUUCAAAACUCUUUUGUUUGGGGGUUUAGCUCAGUUGGUAGAGCGCCUGCUUUGCAAGCAGGAUGUCAGCGGUUCGAGUCCGCUAACCUCCACUGGAGUUGAUAGAGCGAGAGAUAGGAAGAUACAGCAACUUAUCUAGAUUUUGCUAGAGAGCCUGCUGGAUUUGUCCAGCUAGAACCAUGAAAACUGCAUAGCGAAAGAAGAUUUCUGUCAGGUAGUAGAGAUUCAUCUGAUUCAGGUCAGAUGGGUCAUCACAGACACCAAUGAAAUUUGU